AAGUCAAGUCACAGUUGUUCGUCAUGAGUCAAGUCAAGUCACGGCCGAUCUUCAAAAGUCAAGUCCAGUCACAACUGCUCUUUCUGAGUCCCAUCAAGUCACAGUUUAUUAUCAUGAGUCUAGUCAAGUCACAGCUGAUAUUCAUGAGUCUAGUCAAGACACAGUUGAUUGUCAUGAGA